GAGACACUAACAUCCGAACUCUAAAUGAUAUGAUCCUGUGCUUUGUCAGGUGAACAGCAUAAUGAUUGCUUCUCUCUUCCAAGUAGAUUAGAAGCAUUCAAGAGCUAUGGGACUGACUGAAGGUGACCUCAGCCAUUUAUCGUAAUGUACUGUGCAAACACCACUUUUCUUUGAACAUGAAAAAGUUUUGAAAGUACUGUUUUGCACCUCAGCUUGAAUGUAAUCCUAGCUACUUGGGAGGAUCACAGUCAAGGGCAGCCCAAAGAAAAAUGUUUGCAAGACCUCUUCUCUAAUCCAUAGCUGAGCACAGUGGCACACACUCUUAUCUCAAGCUAUAUGUGAGCCAGAGAUUGGGAAGAUCAUGGUUUCAGGCCAGCUUGGGUAGAAGAGUCUGCAAGAGUACAUCUCCAGAGGGGACACAGUGGUAUGUACCUGUAAUACAAGCAAAUACAGGAAGCCUAAAGUAAGCAGAUCGUAGGCCAGUUGCAUGCCCAGGCAGGAAGCAAAACCCUGUUUU